CCCUUAGAUGUUCUGGGUCGCACGCGCGCUACACUGAUCAGUGCAACAAGCAUCCGUCCUUGGCCGACAGGCCCGGGCAAUCUUUGAACGCUGAUCGUGAUGGGGAUAGACUUUUGCAAUUUUUGGUCUUCAACGAGGAAUUCCUAGUAAACGCAAGUCAUCAACUUGCAUUGAUUACGUCCCUGCCCUUUGUACACACCGCCCGUCGCACCUACCGAUUGAAUGGUCCGGUGAAGCCUCCGGAUUGGCGUGCACCCUCGGGUGCUGCCGAGAAGUUGGCUAAACCUUACCAUUUAGAGGAAGGUGAAGUCGUAACA
rnacentral:rRNA from 1 species